UGGACUAAUACGGCUACAAUCUCUACUUGAACACUAUGAGGGGAGAUAGAGAGAUAGAUAUUUUUUUUUUUUAUUGGAGUAGCCCCCAAAAUAUUGGGACAUAUAAAAAAAAAAAAAACCCUCUGUUCCGCAGAGUAGCUGUUGACAUAGUUGCGCAGGCACUUUGUUGACUCUAGAGAACCUUGGGCCAAUCACACAUCCCUGUAACGGCGACUUUGCAUUUGGAUGUCAUCCAUAUCAACUUUCGAUGCCAGUUUCUGCACCUACCAUGGUGACCACGGGUAACGGGGAAUCAGGGUUCCAUUCCGUACAGGGAAAUGGCUACCACAUGCAAGGAAGGCAGCAGGCGCGCAAAUGACCCACUCCCGACGCGGAAGUUAGUGA